rnacentral:rRNA from 1 species
GAUGAACGCUGGCGGCGUGCCUAAUACAUGCAAGUCGAGCGAACAGAUGAGGAGCUUGCUCCUCUGACGUUAGCGGCGGACGGGUGAGUAACACGUGGAUAACCUACCUAUAAGACUGGGAUAACUUCGGGAAACCGGAGCUAAUACCGGAUAAUAUAUUGAACCGCAUGGUUCAAUAGUGAAAGACGGUUUUGCUGUCACUUAUAGAUGGAUCCGCGCCGCAUUAGCUAGUUGGUAAGGUAACGGCUUACCAAGGCAACGAUGCGUAGCCGACCUGAGAGGGUGAUCGGCCACACUGGAACUGAGACACGGUCCAGACUCCUACGGGAGGCAGCAGUAGGGAAUCUUCCGCAAUGGGCGAAAGCCUUACGCAACAACGCCGCGUGAGUGAUGAAGGUCUUCGGAUCGUAAAACUCUGUUAUUAGGGAAGAACAAAUGUGUAAGUAACUAUGCACGUCUUGACGGUACCUAAUCAGAAAGCCACGGCUAACUACGUG